rnacentral:rRNA from 1 species
GACGAAGGGGGCUAGCGUUGUUCGGAAUUACUGGGCGUAAAGCGCGCGUAGGCGGCUUUGCAAGUCGGGUGUGAAAUCCCCAGGCUUAACCUGGGAACUGCAUUCGAGACUGCAUUGCUAGAGUACGGGAGAGGGAAGUGGAAUUUCCGGUGUAGCGGUGAAAUGCGUAGAUAUCGGAAGGAACAUCAGUGGCGAAAGCGACUUCCUGGACCAAUACUGACGCUCAUGUGCGAAAGCGUGGGGAGCAAACAGG